rnacentral:rRNA from 1 species
UACGUAUGGAGCAAGCGUUAUCCGGAUUUACUGGGUGUAAAGGGAGAGUAGGUGGCAGAGCAAGUCCGAAGUGAAAACCCAAAGCUCAACUAUGGGAAUGCUUUAGAAACUGCUCAGCUAGAGUGCAGGAGAGGCAAGUGGAAUUCUUAGUGUAGCGGUGAAAUGCAUAGAUAUAACUUAGAACACCGAUAGCGAAGGCAGCUUACCAGACUGAGUCUGACGCUGAUGCACGAGAGCAUGGGUAGCGAACAGG